UGGCGCCCAACAUGGGACACGAGAAUGUGGGACUCCAUGAGGGGCGUUGUUUGUGGACCCAAAGUAGAAAAAAGAAAAGGAAAUAGAGGACUUGGCAAUGUGGGAGCCUGCCAUGCCACACUGAACCUCAGUAAGUGAACAGCAAUUAUGAGAUAAGAAAUUAACCAGCAUGAGAUUUUUGUUGAAAGUUUAAGAAAAGCUUUAAAGACGUGAGGAAUAAAGGAAAACAUUAAGCAAUUGUGCCCAUUAGGGCUUAAUAAAUUUUAUCUC
rfam:Cavia porcellus supercont2_151 genomic scaffold, whole genome shotgun sequence.